UGCCAUAUCAAGAGCCUAUGCACGUAUACACACAACAUGCUUGUUAUUCAUAAGAACAACAGCUGACAGAACGCCGAUCGAGACACUUUAAAUACAACUGAACAUAAGCAGUGAAACAUAUCUGAAUUCGGGAGGAGGGAACCGACGAUUGAGGUGCUGAGAAGGCGUUUCGUUUCUCUACGAGAAUACGUCAGUUUGGUUGAACACGUUGCCAGA